rnacentral:rRNA from 1 species
GACGAACGCUGGCGGCGUGCUUAACACAUGCAAGUCGAACGGAAAGGCCCUGCUUUUGUGGGGUGCUCGAGUGGCGCACGGGUGUGUAACAUGUGAGUAACCUUCCCUUGACUUUGUGAUAACUUCAGGCAACUGGUGCUAAUACCUGCUUGGUGCUCCUGCUGCUUGGUGGGGGUCGGACAGUUUCGGCGGUUGUGGAUGGACUUGCGGCUUACUAGCUUGUUGGUGGGGUAGUGGCUUACCAAGGCUUUGACGGGUAGUCGGCCUGAGAGGUGGAACGGCGACAAGGGGACUGAGAGACGGACCAGACGCGUACGGGAGGCAGAAGUGGGGAAUAUUGCACAAUGGGCGGAAGCGUGAUGCAACAGCGCCGCGUGCGGGAAGACGGCCUUGGGGGUGUAAAGCGCUGUCGCCUGUGACGAAGCGGGAGUGACGGUAAUGGGAAAAGAAGCACCGGCUAACUACGUG